rnacentral:rRNA from 1 species
AUUGAACGCUGGCGGCAGGCUUAACACAUGCAAGUCGAACGAGUGGCGGACGGGUGAGUAAUGCUUGGGACUCUGGCUUAUGGAGGGGGAUAACGACGGGAAACUGUCGCUAAUACCGCGUAACAUAGGAGGAGCCCAAGUGGGAAUAGGUAGUUGGUGGGGUAAUGGCCUACCCAGCCGAAUAUCUCUAGCUGGUCUGCGAGGAUGACCAGCCACACCGGGACUGAGACAUGGCCCGGACUCCUACGUGCGGCAGCAGUGGGGAAUAUUGCGCAAUGGGGGCAACCUGACGCAUCCAUGCCGCGUGAAUGAAGAAGUCCUUCGGGUUGUAAAGUUCUUUCGGUGACGAGGCGUUAAUCACAGAAGAAGCACCGGCUAACUCCGUGCCAGCAGCCGCGGUAAUAC